UUAUUCUUUCAUUUAUUUAGAAACAUAAAAAGGCGGAGGAUCCAAAAUUGAAAAGGGUUCGUGGUGAUCUCCAGAAUAGAAUAGACAUUUAAAAAAUCAGGCUGAUAGCUAUGAUGACAAAGGACCUGUUAUAGAUGCUGUUGUAUGGCAUGAUGGAGAAGAAUGGAGGGUUGCUCUUGAUACACAAAGUCUCGAGGAUGAUCCAGAAGCUGGGAAGCUGGCUGGCUUUGUGCCCCUAACUAAUUACAGGAUUGAACGGAAAUAUGGCGUGUUUAGUAAAUUAGAUGCAUGUACAUUUGUUGUUAAUGUGUAUGACGAGGGGAAUAUAUUAAGUAUUGUUACAGAUAGCUCUCCUCAUGGCACUCAUGUUUCCGGUAUCGCUGCUGCUUUCCACCCACAGGAGCCCUUGUUAAAUGGUGUUGCACCUGGAGCACAAUUAAUUUCAUGUAAAAUUGGAGACUCACGUUUGGGUUCAAUGGAGACAGGAACUGGCUUGAUGCGAGCACUAAUAGGUGCUGUGGAGCAUAAAUGUGAUCUGAUCAACAUGAGCUAUGGAGAACCUACACUAUGACCUGACUAUGGACGCUUUGUUGAUCUUGUUAAUGAAGUGGUACAUGAGCACCGGUUAAUAUUUGUGAGUAGUGCUAGUAA